AGAGAGAGAGAGAGAGAGAGAGAGAGAGAGAGAGAGGGAGAAGCAACCUUGGAAGCAGGAAACGGUCAGGCCAGCAUAGAGAGAACCUUCGCCGGUGAAUCGAGCAUUCGGUAAGCAUCGGCCGUGAUUCCCACCAACCAAAGACCUGGGAAAACGCUCUGCAAAAGCCAAAACCAGAAACGAAUGAAACAGUGCAAAAGGGUUGGUUCUUCGUCGAAGAAUUCACCACCCAGAACAUCAACACGAAAUAGCACAAAACGACGCGAUCGAAGAUCCUCCGUACGUCGAGCUGUUUCUGCACAUUCCGGGGUCGCUUCCUCGGUCUCCGAGCGGGCCUUGACCCGGUCAUCGCGAAGAUGUCCUCCUCGAUCUCCUCCUUCGACAGCGACACCCACAGCCUCCGCUUCCCCUCCUCCGCCUCCUCCUUCCUCUCUCCGCUGGCCGCCUCCGCGAAGCCUCGCAGCCGCGCCGAUUUCGGCGGCUGAUUCGCGUUCUCCUUCCUCUCCCCCUGCUGGACCGAUGGAUUAACCGUCGGAAACGCUUCGCGCGGCUCCCCGUUCCUCGAGGAGCCGUUGCUCGCUCCUCUCCUCGGCCUCAGGUUCCACGGCCUCUGCACGGCCUCCUCCGCUUCGGCUUCUUCGUUGUCGCCGUCGCCGCCGCUGCCCUUGUUGUUGUUGCCGCCGCCACCGCUCCUGUGAUCGGUGCCGGCGAUGUUGAUCUUGAACGCCUCCCUCUCCCCUCUAGAGCCCAACGCCUGUUUCUGCGGCUUAUCGAGGGCCGGCGCGGAGCAGCUGCCGAGGGCGCGGCAGGAGCGCGAUCCGAGCGCCGGAGGGCACGAUUGCGGCUCGAGGUCGUCCGGAGGCGGGGGAGGAGGAGGGGAGUCGCCGGAGGGGGAGGGGCGGCGGUGCUGGCGGUGGCUGGCGGUGGCGCCUCCCCAGCGCAGGAAGGACGGCAUGGAGAAGUUGUGGAGCGGCUGGGACUUCACCGGCGCCGUCGCCAUGGGAGGCGGAGGAGAAGGAGGAGGAGGAGGAGGUGAUUGCGAAACAAGACGCGGCGUGUUUUGUAUGAAGCCAGAAUACACAGCCGGGCUACAAAAACGGGGCGUCGUUUUUGCCCUCCUUCGCCAUCUUCUUCUUCUCUCUAAUUCGAUUUGGCAGUACAAUACUCGUAUUAUAAUUUAUCUUUAACGUAUUUAAAUU